AGUCUAUUGUGUUCUAUGAGGUCUUAUGCAGAAACCCUCAGAUGAGUCACAACAAGUGAGGCAGAAGGUGUGUCCGCAUAACCAACAAGUACCUGCAGGUGAAACCAAAACAAGUUUGUCUGCUUUGGGUAAAACAAACACUUUGCCAACAGGCAGCACCAUAGUUAACUGUUGGUGGAACAGUACAGCCAACACCUCUUCAACUUUAAGGCAUAAAAUCAAUUCAGAGAACAGACAUCCGGGAGGAGGAGGAGGUGAGGAGAAGGCGUUGUCCUCUCAUGAGUUUGCACGGAAAGCUAAGAGGAAAGAUAUACAGAUCGUCUGAGCAAGAGAGGACAGGCAUCCACCAGCUCCAUUUAGCAAGAGUAUUAGGCCUCAUUAGGACAAAGCCGAAUAGAUCACCACAUUCCAUACCAAACUGUGGACAGGAAAUACAAAAGGGGCACAGCUGAUUUUCUGCACACAGGAUUGCAGGAAAAGUACUGAACCGAUUUGUACCAAACUGGGUGGAGGGAUGGGACGAGGGCCAGAGACAACCCCAUUCAAUUCUGGUCUGGAUCCAUUAAUUUUUAAUCACAACAUUGCAAGAUAGGGUUUUUUUUUUUUUAACAUUUUGAUGAAGGUAUGCACUCUACUGAGUGCCACUCCAGUAUUUGUCAUGUUUUUUGUGUGUUUCUGUGUAUGGUAUUUUAUAUUAAACAACCCAACAAAUGUAAUGACUUGUCAGCAACUUCUUAACAACAAAAUUUAAAAACCUUUUUAAAUACGUUUCUGUUCUGUUGACCUAAAGGUUCAUAAGAUAUUUAGGAGACAAAACAUCUGCCUGCUACACAAAGUAAUGCACAUUUCCCCAAGUUUUCACUAAUAUUUUUCUACAUUUUCUCAUUAAAUACUAGAUUAUUUCACCUCUGGAACUAAUGUGUCUCGAUAAAACCACGAAGAAAAGCCACAGACCAACAACACGCCCACAUACUUUUAGCGAUGUAAUAUAACUGAGAUAAAAAUAGAGACGCCUCAUAUAGAAAAUAUACACAUUUAUUAUCCACAUAUUUAUUAAAAACACAUUAUGGAUUUGAGUUUAAAACCUUAGUUUGUAGUGGGCAGCAGCAUCAACUAGUCCUCCAUCAUUGCCAGUUUUAAGAGACACGACUUGGUGUCUGUGUGGGUGUAGGGAAGGAAAAAAAAAAAAAAGAGGCUCUGACUGUGCCGACAUUCAGAAAAUCCCACAGUACUGGCAUUCAUGUACAUAUAGGCGAUUUCAGGUAACUCAAUCUAAAUUGCAAUGUCAGCACACACUAGACUGUAUGCAAAUACAAUCAGAGCCAGAGGACGGGGAAGACAGUUAAUGCAAAUGAAGCACAUUUGCAACACAGAGGCAGCUCCACAUCUCCUGUCUCUGCCCUCUGCUACACCCACCCCCACUGCUCCACACUUGCAAACAAAGUAUUCCCCUUUUGGUGUCCAGGCUGUCGUCUGCAUUUGUUUCACACCACAAGUGUUAAGAAGGAGAGGCGUUUAUCACAUGCAUAUCACAGCCUCCAGGGAGGGAGCUUCUUGAUUAAACCUUUGGCUACAGGACAUUUAACAGACAAAGCCAGGAGGUGGAAAUCUCUCUUUGGGUUCUGUCUUUCAAGGUGUCUUUCUUUCUCUAACCCAAGAAAUACUGUAUGUUAUAUUUGACUAUACAAAUAAACUUGACUUAUGUCAGUGA